rnacentral:pre_miRNA from 1 species
AAAGUACUCCCUCCGUCCCAAAAUUCUUAUCUUAGAUUUGUCUAGAUACGGAUGUAUCAAGUCACAUUUUAGUAUUAGAUACAUCCGUAUCUAGACAAAUCUAAGACAAGAAAUUUGGGACAGAGGGAGUAGUUG